CCUACGGGAGGCAGCAGUAAGGAAUAUUGGACAAUGGGCGCAAGCCUGAUCCAGCCAUGCCGCGUGAAGGAUUAAGGUCCUCUGGAUUGUAAACUUCUUUUAUAGGGGACGAAAAAAGGGCAUUCUUGCUCACUUGACGGUACCCUAUGAAUAAGCACCGGCUAACUCCGUGCCAGCAGCCGCGGUAAUACGGAGGGUGCAAGCGUUAUCCGGAUUCACUGGGUUUAAAGGGUGCGUAGGCGGGCAGUUAAGUCAGUGGUGAAAUCUCCGAGCUCAACUCGGAAACUGCCAUUGAUACUAUCUGUCUUGAAUAUUGUGGAGGUAAGCGGAAUAUGUCAUGUAGCGGUGAAAUGCUUAGAUAUGACAUAGAACACCUAUUGCGAAGGCAGCUUACUACGCAUAUAUUGACGCUGAGGCACGAAAGCGUGGGGAUCAAACAGGAUUAGAUACCCUGGUAGUCCACGCCCUAAACGAUGGAUACUCGACAUACGCGAUACACUGUGUGUGUCUGNGNGAAGAGAUAAGUAUCCUUACGNGUAGUUACGUUCGCGAGAGAGACGACAANAGAGUUAGACGGCGNGAGACGNGCGACGGACGACGACGAGGGAGGUAGG
rnacentral:rRNA from 1 species